rnacentral:rRNA from 1 species
AGUCCCGCAACGAGCGCAACCCUUAUCCUUGUUUGCCAGCGAGUAAUGUCGGGAACUCCAGGGAGACUGCCGGUGAUAAACCGGAGGAAGGUGGGGACGACGUCAAGUCAUCAUGGCCCUUACGAGUAGGGCUACACACGUGCUACAAUGGCGCAUACAGAGGGCGGCCAACUUGCGAGAGUGAGCGAAUCCCAAAAAGUGCGUCGUAGUCCGGAUUGGAGUCUGCAACUCGACUCCAUGAAGUCGGAAUCGCUAGUAAUCGUGGAUCAGAAUGCCACGGUGAAUACGUUCCCGGGCCUUGUACACACCGCCCGU